GUGGAUUAGAUACCCUGGUAGUCCACGCCGUAAACGAUGAUCACUAGACGUUAAUUCUGCUUGCAGAGUCAGUGUCGUAGCUAACGCGAUAAGUGAUCCGCCUGGGGAAUACGGUCGCAAGACUAAAACUCAAAGGAAUUGACGGGGGCCCGCACAAGCGGUGGAACAUGUGGUUUAAUUCGACACUACGCGAGGAACCUUACCUAGGCUUGACAUGCUUUUGACAGUCGUAGAAAUACGAUCUUUCUAACUUGUUAGGACAAUUGCACAGGUGCUGCAUGGCUGUCGACAGCU
rnacentral:rRNA from 1 species